ACUGAAGGAACAGGAAAACCGGAAGGGCCUGAUAGCCGCCAUCUGUGCAGGUCAUUACACCUACUCUGAGAAUCGGGUGGAAAAGGACGGCCUGAUUCUUACAAGCCAUGGGUGGGCCUGGGACCAGCUUCGAGUUCGCGCUUGCAAUUGUUGAAGCCCUGAACGGCAAGGAGGUGGCGGCUCAAGUGAAGGCUCCACUUGUUCUUAAAGACUAGAGCAGCAAAAUGUGACAAUCACCUAGAGAAACAGGCCUUAGGAAUCUAUUCUCACUGUGUUCACUCUGAACAAAACAAUGGUAGGUUAGUGUGUUCCUAAGCUGCCCUCAUUACUGCUUUUGUGAAGUACAGUUGUGAAGUCAUAACUACACAGAGAUCUUCCAACCUACAAAUUGUGUCUAUACAUUUCUAAGCCUUGUUUGCAGAAUAAACAGGGCAUUUAGCAAACUAAAAA